GACGAACGCUGGCGGCGUGCUUAACACAUGCAAGUCGAACGGUGAAGGGAUCAGCUUGCUGGUUCUGGAUGAGUGGCGAACGGGUGAGUAACACGUGAGUAACCUGCCCCCUUCUUCUGGAUAACCGCAUGAAAGUGUGGCUAAUACGGGAUAUUCUGGGUCUGUCGCAUGAUGGGUCUGGGAAAGAUAUUGUUUCGGUGGGGGAUGGGCUCGCGGCCUAUCAGCUUGUUGGUGGGGUGAUGGCCUACCAAGGCGGGGACGGGUAGCCGGCCUGAGAGGGUGGACGGUCACACUGGGACUGAGACACGGCCCAGACUCCUACGGGAGGCAGCAGUGGGGAAUAUUGCACAAUGGGCGCAAGCCUGAUGCAGCGACGCCGCGUGAGGGAGGGAGGCCUUCGGGUUGUAAACCUCUUUCGCCAGUGAAGCAGGCCUGCUCCUUGUGGGUGGGUUGACGGUAGCUGGAUAAGAAGCGCCGGCUAACUACGUG
rnacentral:rRNA from 1 species